rnacentral:lncRNA from 1 species
CCUGCGCGCAAACUAGUGGCCUCGCCGCGCGCAGCCAGAGCCCGGCACUCACUUCUUAUCCCCGAUCCUCGGCGCGCAGGCGUGGCGUCCCGCGGGGACUGGAGGCGUCUUCCAGGUGUCGGCCUCCGAGCGUCCCGGAAGGUGAGAGGCGGGGUGAGGUCUGGCAGUCGCCUCUGCACCCGUAGCUGCGAGCCGCCCACCUUAAACCCGGGUCUGGGACCUCGGAGAGUCAGCCCGCCGCCCCGAGCGCUCACCAGGUGUCUGAUGCAUGUCUCCGAAUAAUAUUUUCAUGAAGAAUACAUGAAUGCUCUAUUUCCUGAGACUUUGAAUAUAUGGGGUUGUUCAUCUGUUGUCAUCACAUAAGAAGAAAAAAAUUUAGCUGAGAAAAUUCUUAGGUCAUAGUCUUUUCCUUCAAAAAAUUUAAAAAAUUUUUUCUGUUGUCUUAUGGCGUAUCUUAUUGGAGAGCUGAGAACAGCUAGAUUUUUGUUUCCUCAUAAAUAACUUGCUUUAUGGCAGAAUACUAGUAGAUGUGGUUUUUUCUUUAUACUUGCAUUCCUAAACGUUUGCCAGGGUAGACUUCUUUUCAUUACUAUCAUCUAGAAUGGUGAGUCCUUUCAAUUUGAAUAGUCAGGUCCUCUUUUUUAAAGUGAUACCUUUAAUUACUCUUGUUCUAAUUGUUGUAGUAUCUUCCUCAGAAACAUAUAAUUCUUAAAUAAAUCUAUCUAGUCCUCUCUCUCUCUCUCUCUCUAUCUAUCUAUAUAGAUAGAUGUGUUUGCGUAUAUGUGUGUGUAUGUCUAUACAUACAUACACACACAUAUAUAUAAUAUAUAUAUAUGUAGAGAGAGAGAGAGAUAAACUCUCACUCUGUGUCCCAGGCUGGAGUGCAGUGGUGUAAUCUCGACUCACUGCAACCUCCACCUCCAGGUUCAAGCAAUUCUCCUGCCUCAGCCUCCUUAAUAGCUGGGAUUACAGGGUCACAUCACCACAUCUGGCUAAUUUUUGUAUUUUUAGUACAGAUGGGGUGUCACCAUGUUGACCAGGAUGGUCUCGAUCUCCUGAAUCUUGUGAUCCACCCACCUUGGCCUCCCAAAGUGCUGUGAUUACACCAUGAGCCACCAUACCUGGCCCUAGCCUUCUAUUUUAUUCACUUGAAUCCUUUUUUCUUUUACCCACAUACCUAAAGAGAUCUUAAGUUUGUCUUACAUGUCACUGACUCCAGUGUCUGUCACAGUAAUGCUGCAGGAGUCUACGUUCCUGCUCCCAAUGUAGAUUUUACUUCUGCUGUUACAUUUUUAACAUCGCUGAAUUUUUAAAAGUAAUCUUCUCCCUUUUAUCUCAUUCUAAAGUCUUUUCACCUUUAGAAUGCCAAGCAGUUUUCUUAAAAUAUUUUUUAAAUUCUAGGAGCAAAUAAUUUUUAUAAUGAUUUUCUUUCUCUGAGUCUUUGAAGCAUUGAUCCCAUUCCUCUGCCCCUCAGGAGU